UGCUUAAACGAAGAGGUAU
rnacentral:snRNA from 1 species